UUUACAUCUCUUCGGAGCUAGUUUUACGUAGGUGCUGCAUGGUUGUUCGUCAGCUCGUGCCGUGAGGUGUCGGGUUAAGUCCCAUAACGAGCGCAACCCUUACCUUUAGUUGCCAUCAGGUAAUGCUGGGGACUCUAAAGGAACUGCCUACGCAAGUAGUGAGGAAGGCGGGGAUGACGUCAAAUCAGCACGGCCCUUACGUCCAGGGCUACACACGUGCUACAAUGGCCGAUACAGAGGGCAGCUACCUGGUGACAGGAUGCAAAUCUCCAAAGUCGGUCUCAGUUCGGAUCGGAGUCUGCAACCCGACUCCGUGAAGUUGGAUUCGCUAGUAAUCGCGCAUCAGCCAUGGCGCGGUGAAUACGUUCCCGGGCCUU
rnacentral:rRNA from 1 species